rnacentral:lncRNA from 1 species
AUACUAUGAAAGUAACAAUAUUAAUUUAUAACUUUUGUUUUGUUUUUGAAUUUCUUCUUCACGUUGAUUUGCCAUAUUUUUUUUUUAAUUCCAUUUUUUCCCUCUUUGAAUUGAAGCAAGAGGCUCCAAGAAUUUGUUCAAUUAAUUGUUGUUCAUGGUAGCUUGAUGGUCUUUGUUGGAAUAAGGUUUGGAUUGCCCUGCUCGUCUAUCAUCAACAAUCUCAAUCAAAGGACGGACAGUUAAAACCCAAUAAAAUAAAACCAAACCAUUUAAAAUUGAUGCUGAGCCCAAAAGAGAGAUGAGGCCCAAAGGGAGUGUGGGGCGGGGCCUAGGUUUGAGAAGCCCAAGGUGGCCCAUUAACUCUUUACUCACAAAACUACCAUUUUUUUUUUGGUAUGGCAUAUAAUUUCAACAGAUUUCCUCUUAUGUUGUACUUCCAUUCUUUAUUCGUCUAUUAAUUGUUAAUAGAAAAAUUAUAAACAUUUUAUUGAUUAUGAUUGUUUCAUUAUCUUGUUUUGCAAGAUAGUUGUCUGAUUUUGGUAUGGCAAUGAAAUAGGUAUCUCUUUCUCAUUCAUUAUACCCUGUGCAGCACCAUUUGAGAAGUUCACCAUUACCUAUAUACCUGUAAAUCAUGGCUGUAAAUACGUCAAUCAAUUAAUGAUUGCAUUUUCUGAUCAUUGUUCUUUGGCCUCUUUAACAUAGUACUGAUCUUUCAUGGUAAUUUAUUAGGGACAAAUGCAAAGCAGAGUGGUUCUUUGAAGGCAUAGAAAGAAUUUGAAAUUGAAAUUUCUGUUCAAACAGGAUGGUGUUGUUCAGCUGAAUCACUUAUACAUGUACAAUUGAGGUGGCGUGAGAUUCCCUUUUUCAUUUCUUGGAACCCAUUAAUCAGAGGAGUUGAUACAAGAUUGAGGGAUGUUAAAUCAUAUUGCAAUGAUCAAUACUCAAUACUUCGCAUGAGUUCUAUGUCUGCAAUACCUAGGUUUUCAGCUAGACAGCAGCAAUUCCUUCUGGAAAUUGUCAUUCAUAACUUCACCAAUUCAAGAAUGCUCCCACUUCCAGUCACCUACCUGAUACAUGGUAGUGGAGUUUAAACUGUAUACAUGUUUUUCUUUAGUGGGUAUCUCCGUUUUUGAAAGAUGAACUUUCAAUGUAGAUGGGUUAUAACUCACAAGUCAUUAUCAGUCCUUACGAAGGAUGGUGACCUAAUGCAAACCUCUUUUCCAUUUUCCAAAAGAAACUUCCCAAAUUCAUGCAGAAUUCUCACAUCUGUGGGGAAUUUAAUCGGAAAUUGAGUUCAAUCAUUGUAUCUAAAUUCAAAGGGCUGUCAACUCUAACUAAAAUGACCACAAUCAAAAAUCCAGAAAACCCGUCAAGAAAAACUCUAAACCCACCCGGAGCCAACCCAUAUCCACAGAAAACGCAUUUUCCAAAAAUCCAACUCACCUUUCCCUCCAUUUGCAACUUAAUCACGUCGCGUGGAAUAGAUGAUCCGCUCCCGAGAGUAUCACCGAUCAUAACCAACCGCGACGCGACCCUUUUUGCAACCUAAUCACGUUGCGCCACGUGUUCAACAAUGGUGAUCUGCUCCCGAGAGUAUCACUGAUCAUAACUAACCGCGAUGCGACCCUUCUAAAAAGGAGAACGCUCUCAUUCUAGACUCCGUCGCCAUCUUCAACCUCUCUCUCUGGUAACACAUUUUCUUUUCUUUGCUUUUUUUUUUAUUUUUUAUCCUUCGUUGUUUGCUUAUUUCCUGUUUUUUCUCGGCAACCAAGCGGGGUUGUUCUAGGUUUGUCACGUCUAAAAAGGAGAACGCUCUCAUUCCUCUCCCAGACUCUGUCGCCGUCUUCAACCUCUCUCUCUGGUAACACAUUUUCUUUUCUUCGCUUUUUUUUUCUUUUUUAUUUUUUAUCCUUCGUUGUUUGCUUAUUUCCUGUUUUUUCUCGGCAACCAAGCAGGGUUGUUCUAGGUUUGUCGCGUCUAAAAAGGAGAACGCUCUCAUUCCUCUCCCAGACUCCGUCGCCAUCUUCAACCUCUCUCUCUCUCGUAGAUGUUCAACACGUUUUCUUUUCUUUGCUUUUUUUUUCUUUUUUAUUUUUUAUCAUUCGUUUGCUUAUUUCCUGUUUUUUCUCGGCAACCAAACGGGGUUGUCUCUCUCUCUGGUAGAUGUUCAACAUGUUUUCUUUUCUUUGCUUAUUUCCUGUUUUUUCUCGGCAACCAAACAGGGUUAUUCUAG